GACGAACGCUGGCGGCGUGCCUAAUACAUGCAAGUAGAACGCACAGUUUAUACCGUAGCUUGCUACACCAUAGACGGUGAGGUGCGAACGGGUGAGUAACGCGUAGGUAACCUGCCUGGGAGCGGGUGAGAACUAUUGGAAACGAAAGCUAAUACCGCAUAAUAUUCAUUAUUGCAUGGUAAUUGAUGGAAAGAUUCUAUUUCAUCAAUACCAGAUGGACCUACGUUGUAGUAGCUAGUAGGAGGGGUAACGGCCCACCAAGGCGACGAUACAUAGCCGAGCUGAGAGGGUGAUCGCCCACCCUGGACUGGAGACAGGGCCCAGACUCCUACGGGGGGCGCAGGAGGGAAUUUUCGGGAAUGGGCGGAAGGCUGGCCGGGCCACGCCGCGGUGGUGGAUGAGGUUUUUGGGUCGUUAAACUUUUUUUUAAGGGAAGAACGGGUGUUGGAAUGAACAGUUCACACUGUGACGGUAUCUUACCAGAAAGCGACGGCUAACUACGUG
rnacentral:rRNA from 1 species